rnacentral:tRNA from 1 species
GGAGGUAUAGCUCAGAGGCAGAGCACAUGCUUAGCAUGCAUGAGGCCCUGGGUUCUUUCCCCAGUACCUCCA